rnacentral:rRNA from 1 species
UUUAACUGAAGAGUUUGAUCAUGGCUCAGAUUGAACGCUGGCGGCAGGCUUAACACAUGCAAGUCGAGCGGGGGAAGGUAGCUUGCUACUGGACCUAGCGGCGGACGGGUGAGUAAUGCUUAGGAAUCUGCCUAUUAGUGGGGGACAACAUCUCGAAAGGGAUGCUAAUACCGCAUACGUCCUACGGGAGAAAGCAGGGGAUCUUCGGACCUUGCGCUAAUAGAUGAGCCUAAGUCGGAUUAGCUAGUUGGUGGGGUAAAGGCCUACCAAGGCGACGAUCUGUAGCGGGUCUGAGAGGAUGAUCCGCCACACUGGGACUGAGACACGGCCCAGACUCCUACGGGAGGCAGCAGUGGGGAAUAUUGGACAAUGGGGGGAACCCUGAUCCAGCCAUGCCGCGUGUGUGAAGAAGGCCUUAUGGUUGUAAAGCACUUUAAGCGAGGAGGAGGCUACUUUAGUUAAUACCUAGAGAUAGUGGACGUUACUCGCAGAAUAAGCACCGGCUAACUCUGUGCCAGCAGCCGCGGUAAUACAGAGGGUGCGAGCGUUAAUCGGAUUUACUGGGCGUAAAGCGUGCGUAGGCGGCUUAUUAAGUCGGAUGUGAAAUCCCCGAGCUUAACUUGGGAAUUGCAUUCGAUACUGGUGAGCUAGAGUAUGGGAGAGGAUGGUAGAAUUCCAGGUGUAGCGGUGAAAUGCGUAGAGAUCUGGAGGAAUACCGAUGGCGAAGGCAGCCAUCUGGCCUAAUACUGACGCUGAGGUACGAAAGCAUGGGGAGCAAACAGGAUUAGAUACCCUGGUAGUCCAUGCCGUAAACGAUGUCUACUAGCCGUUGGGGCCUUUGAGGCUUUAGUGGCGCAGCUAACGCGAUAAGUAGACCGCCUGGGGAGUACGGUCGCAAGACUAAAACUCAAAUGAAUUGACGGGGGCCCGCACAAGCGGUGGAGCAUGUGGUUUAAUUCGAUGCAACGCGAAGAACCUUACCUGGCCUUGACAUACUAGAAACUUUCCAGAGAUGGAUUGGUGCCUUCGGGAAUCUAGAUACAGGUGCUGCAUGGCUGUCGUCAGCUCGUGUCGUGAGA